UAUAGAACCACUAGUAACUCAUAGACUCUUCCUGUUAUGUGAAAUAAAUGAAGACCAGCCAACUAAGAAAGGCAAAGGCUAUGUAUUCUGAGCUCAUCUGGAUCAGAGGAGUCAGCACUGUCAUUUGUGUUUGGCAGAGACUGAAAGGCAGCACUUCAAAUGCAUCAAAGGUCCAGAGAGAAGCUUCUUCUGGUCACCUUGAUCUUGUGAUGCAAGGCAGGUGGGAGCAAGGGCUCCACCUCUGCAGACACAGAGAUGACGGGGUCGCCAUGCCGGCGUUUUAGUCCCGGUUUCCUCUGCUCGAGUAGUUGGUGGCCUCCUGCCUGUUCCCUAACAUAACUUCACUUUCCUUACCUGCAAAACGAAAUUAGUAUUUCCUCCCUCACAAGGUGCUUGAUGCCCUUCCCCUUGCGUUUACUUUGCCUGAGAGACUAUAUCAUAUCUAUGAUUUUGUGAAUGGGGCAAAAGGAAUUGAGAGUGUCAGGGUAUACCUUAUAAAUAAGCCACUAAAGGUUACAUCCUCAUUCCACAAACUGACCUAAACAAUUUGGCUGUCACUAAUAGAUUAUUUUGGUCAGUUAUGGCAUUUAGAGGGAGAAGAGAGAGUAUAUAUAUAUGG
rnacentral:lncRNA from 1 species